GAUGAACGCUGGCGGCGUGCCUAACACAUGCAAGUCGAGCGAUUCUCUUCGGAGAAGAGCGGCGGACGGGUGAGUAACGCGUGGGUAACCUGCCCCGUACACACGGAUAACAUACCGAAAGGUAUGCUAAUACGAGAUAAUAUACUUUUAUCGCAUGGUAGAAGUAUCAAAGCUCCGGCGGUACAGGAUGGACCCGCGUCUGAUUAGCUAGUUGUAAGGUAACGGCUUACCAAGGCGACGAUCAGUAGCCGACCUGAGAGGGUGAUCGGCCACAUUGGAACUGAGACACGGUCCAAACUCCUACGGAGGCAGCAGUGGGGAAUAUUGCACAAUGGGCGAAAGCCUGAUGCAGCAACGCCGCGUGAGCGGAUGAAGGCCUUCGGUCGUAAAGCUCUGUCUCAAGGAAGAUAAUGACGGUACUU
rnacentral:rRNA from 1 species